AUGCUUCUGUUAUUGGCAGGACAGCCAGAGGAGGCAGACAGGACCUUUGAUGCCUGGCAAGCUGUACCACUGGGAGGACAUGCUUCUCUCAGAUCACCUGGAGGCAAGGCAGAAAGCAGAUGAGUGGCACUGAGGAUAAUGGGAUGAAGGUACCAUGAGGCUGCUAUUUGAAAAAUGCUGAUUAUUUAUAUUUUCUGUGAAGAAACGGGAGCAGGCUGUUCACUGAGAACUAGGAAACAGAUGUUGAUGCUGAAGGUACAGGAUAAGGGUGAGGCUUUUCUUCUUACCGACCAUGUUUUAAGUCAACUAGCCUUGGAGGCUGAG